UACAGAGGUCCCGAGCGUUGUUCGGAUUCACUGGGCGUAAAGGGUGCGUAGGUGGCGAGGAAAGUCGGAUGUGAAAGCUCGGAGCUCAACUCCGAAAUGGCAUUGGAAACUACCUUGCUCGAGGGUUGGAGGGGGGACUGGAAUUCUCGGUGUAGCAGUGAAAUGCGUAGAUAUGCGGAGGAACACCGAUGGCGAAGGCAAUCCCCUGGGCCUGCACUGACGCUCAUGCACGAAAGCGUGGGGAGCAAACAGG
rnacentral:rRNA from 1 species